GAGGAUUGUCGAGGUGUUUGGAACUCUGGGUUGGAAAAGCCACUAGUACUUAGAGCUUAACAAGCUGUUCUGUGGGAACCACGAAAAUAAUGCUCGAGAGCAGUGCAGAUGAUGGAGGCCGGGCUUGUGGUGUUUGCGUGGGAAGCAAAGACACCCUCAGGGCUGUUUAUAUGAUUACUUUGAAUUGGGAAUCUGUGACUCUAGUCAGCUGGAGCUGGAGAAAUUGCUUUGAUUAACAAGAGAGCAAUACUCCUGGAGUGAAACCUUUGCUUUACUGGACAAUUGACGCUGGCUAGCCGGAGAUCUUGGACAAGCCCUCAGCAAAGUAAGCUCUCAGUUUCCCUCUUUUUUGGGGGACCUGUACUGUUGGAUGUUGUGACACAACAGGUAUUUCCAGGUUUCUCCCCUCUCUGUCUUGCCUGGACCAUGGUGUGGAGGAAAGCUUUCCUCCAGGAAAAACAGAAUAACCUGUAGUUGAUGGGAACAGCAGGACGGGUGAGACCGUGGACCCAAAGGACCAUGGGAGAGAGAUUUCAGCCUCACGGCCUUUGGUGUGAUGAGGUCGCUUAAGACGCUGCAGCUGUACAGGAGGCCUUGAGUGUCUUCUCCUCGGAACCUCGGGAGGGCUGCACACUCCUUAGACACACGGGGACCUUUCCUGCCAGCCAUUUAACAGACCUGGACCAUCAAGCUGGGGAACAGUGCUGGAGCUGCUUCAGGCUCCCCGGGUUUGUCAGCUCAGGACCCACCAUGCCAUGCCAUGCCUUGGGCGGCCCAGCACAGGACAGAGGCAUCUCUGGGGCAAACAGAAAGCGAAGGUGCCUGGUUUCCUCGGUCCCAGCGGAGCAGCAGCUAGUCUGAACUAAUAGGGUUCUCUGGAGGAGGGAGAGCCACCAUGUCAUGGCAAUUGAUGUGUCCACUCUGCAGCUUUUGCAGAUGCUGCUGGGUCACCAUAUAUCUGACCUGAAGGAUUGGACAGACCCCACAGUCAGGCCCAGCCAUGCUCUAGGACCCGACUUUCUUAUAAGAGGAUGAAUUGCAGCUGC